UGGGGAAUUUUGGACAAUGGGCGAAAGCCUGAUCCAGCAAUGCCGCGUGUGUGAAGAAGGCCUUCGGGUUGUAAAGCACUUUUGUCCGGAAAGAAAUCCUUGGCUCUAAUACAGUCGGGGGAUGACGGUACCGGAAGAAUAAGCACCGGCUAACUACGUGCCAGCAGCCGCGGUAAUACGUAGGGUGCAAGCGUUAAUCGGAAUUACUGGGCGUAAAGCGUGCGCAGGCGGUUUGCUAAGACCGAUGUGAAAUCCCCGGGCUCAACCUGGGAACUGCAUUGGUGACUGGCAGGCUAGAGUAUGGCAGAGGGGGGUAGAAUUCCACGUGUAGCAGUGAAAUGCGUAGAGAUGUGGAGGAAUACCGAUGGCGAAGGCAGCCCCCUGGGCCAAUACUGACGCUCAUGCACGAAAGCGUGGGGAGCAAACAGGAUUAGAUACCCUGGUAGCCCACGCCCUAAACGAUGUCAACUAGUUGUUGGGGAUUCAUUUCCUUAGUAACGUAGCUAACGCGUGAAGUUGACCGCCUGGGGAGUACGGUCGCAAGAUUAAAACUCAAAUGAAUUGACGGGGUCAUAGCUGUUUCCU
rnacentral:rRNA from 1 species